rnacentral:rRNA from 1 species
GUGCAGCAGGCGAGAAAACUUUACAAUGUGCGAAAGCACGAUAAGGGAACUCUGAGUGCCUCCUAAGGAGGCUGUUCUGAUGUCUAAAAAGCAACAGAAGUAAGGGCUGGGUAAGACCGGUGCCAGCCGCCGCGGUAACACCGGCAGCCCAAGUGGUAGCCACGUUUAUUGGGUCUAAAGCGUUCGUAGCCGGCCAGGUAAGUUCCUGGUAAAUUAGCCGCUUAACGGUUAAGCUUUCAGGGAAUA